GCAGAGGUGGCUCAGCAGUUUAGAGCUCUGGCGGCUCUUCCAGAGGACCUGGGUUCAAAUCCCAACACCCGCA
rnacentral:tRNA from 1 species